GGCACAGAAUGUGAAGCAAAGUAAGUACUCUUUUUAACCGCUUACUUUUACUAUGCAGCUCAAGUUUUGAAGCCUAUGUAUGGGGAUAUGCUGUUUCAAGCAUUUCAUGAAACUUUUACUUAUAAGCAUUUAUCAAGAUAUCUUUUUUGCUUUCCUAUUUGACACUUGUCUAUGCAUUACUACAAAAGGAACAAUAAUAAUUUAAGUUAUUUGAUGACCUAUUAGCAUAAAUCAAUUAAAAU
rnacentral:misc_RNA from 1 species